rnacentral:lncRNA from 1 species
UUUAGUGUUUGACACACAAAAUCUUGUAUUGACCUUGCACUGAUGUCAGAGGAGGGGUCCUAUGAAUGUGACAGCUAACAGUGACCACCUAAGCUACUUAGAGGCUUUCAGACAAAGGAAAAAGCCUGGUGAGGGGCCCAGCACUGGAGCAGGACAUGCUUUUUGAUGUGGCUGAGAACUAUCUGCUACUGCAAACCCCAACCACACCAAGCAAAAGGGGUGAAAUCCUGGGAGAAGGAAAUUUAUUGGAGUAGAGGAAAUCACAAAUUUACUCAGAAGUCCAAUCUAGCUGAAAGUCCAUGCUUGUCAGAUGUAUAUGUGUUGAAAGAAGAAAACAACUUCUCUGCUAUGUACUGGUAUGUAUAAAUAAUAUACUUUACUUAUUGAUUUUCUCUUGUGGUUUUUCAUAUCCAUCAACAAUUUCUAUAGAAAUAGAAACAGAAGUUUGAAGUUUUAAUGAUUAAAAUGCUGAGAUGGUAAAGCUGUGACAUAAACGAAACAAAACCUAGUCAGACUGUGAUCUUUUAUACUGGUAUGUAUGGAGACAGUGGCAUUGUUCCUUAAAAAAGGCUUUUACAGAUUUUAUUCUGUGAGGCUUGCUACAAUUGUGCUUGGAUAUCAGAGGAAAUCUUCCUGCCAGGCAUAAUUAGGAUUGCCAGCUUUUGAAGUUUGUCUUAGUAUUUACAGGGAUCAGCUAAAGCCCAGUCAAAUCAAUGGAAAAGCUCCUGGGAUGUGUCUCUGCUGUGCCAAGUACAACAAUAUUAAGCAAUGCCUGACUUGGUGUUAAGCGAGCUGCCUUGUGCAGAGCUAUGCAAAAGGCAGCAACGAGGGGCUAGAAAUGAGCACAGUGACAGAGCAGGUUAAACCUCAAAGAGGCUUUGGUUGCAGAGGUUGCUCACUCUCAGCUGGUGCAACACCUCCCUGCAGUUAGACAAUGCAUGGCUUGAGCACUGUGAAACCAUGAGUAGUUUGGCCUCCAGCUGAAACUUAGGCAGUGUCUGAUAAUCAAAUGUCUUAGGGUUUAUGUACUUCUCACCACAUUAUUUACCCAGUAACCUGCAGGAAUAUAACAUCAGUAGCAAGCAGAGGGUCUUUGAAAACUCAAUCUACUUCUUUACUGCUAAACUGUCAGGUAAUGCAUAAUCCCUUAAAUCUCUUAUCUGAGGUAACAGUCCUAAUACUGUUACUAAUACUUCCGUAAUAUUUUGAAACUUAGAAGGUAAGUAUGCAGAUUUUAAACUAGCUUGUAGUAGUAUAAAUACAAACUUGCGCAAGAGAGUUUUUCAUAAUAUGAGGAGCAGAUUAGCUAUAAUACCACUUCGGUGAAUUUUAUGUUCCCUUUUAUUUUCUCCAUUAAAAUCCUUGCAAUUGUUUAGAAAGGAGAACAGUAACCACCAUAUUCUGCAGCACAGAAUGAUUCUUCAUGGGCUUCUAAAGCCAAAAAUAGAUGAUGCAUAGAAACAGAGUGGUCAUUCAUACUGGAAAGUUAUUAUGAAAGUGAUCCAUUUGGCAGUUUGUGAGCCUCAAAGAGAAGUUUGUGAUGCAAAUAUAUUUUGUCCUACAUUCCAAAUGGAAAAUGCAGGGAUUAUGAAAUACACUUAAGGCCCUAUUUGCAAAUUAUGGACUUUUGUUUCGGGAGUUAUCCUUUGUGCUGUGUUUCUUAAACUUGGCAGGAAAAACGCAUUGGCUGAAAGAGCUAAAAAAACUCUUAAAAUUGGCACCCCAGAAUGAGCUUAGUGAGCUUUCACUGCUUUUGGGCUUGAGUUUAGCAAUCCAUUUUUGUCCAAAUAAAGUCUGGGUUCAUUUCA